GAAUACCGAGACGUGAUUUCUCUACUGCCAGCUUUUGCACUUCAAGAAUGCGGUCUACCCCUUUCAGGUUGAAGAGUCCGCCUACCAAUCCUUUUUCAAUCUUUGCGGCUACGUCGCUGCUCUUGGCCUGUCCUGUUGUGAUGUCUCCCGUGACGGGUAGGUUCAACUGUCCGAUUUUCUCUUCCACAGUCAUUUUCCUCAUCAGC
rnacentral:misc_RNA from 1 species